UGCCCCCGCCCGCCGUGGGAUGCGGAGCGGCAAUGGAGCUGAGAGAGAGGUUUUACUUUUCAAACCCUGCCUGUUAUUCGCAGAAUCCAGUGCUGAAGUACUGAAGAGAUCUGGGUGGAGCAGUGCUUUGGUUCUCCAGAGAUACAGCUUCCCUCUGUGGAUGAAUAGAGGCAGACCUUGGCUUCUUGAGCAGCUACCUGUGAGAUCUGGCAAGGCCUACUGUGAAGGUGCUUGGUUCAUUCUGAGCAGGAAGAGCUCUGGAAUAAAUCGGAGGGACUAAGGGGGCCUUCCUGAAACAAGUCAUGGUAAAGAGAACAAGAGUCUUAUCUCAGCUUGUUUAACCCAGAAGAACACAUCGCUUCUGCUACAGUUUCAGGAAAAAGACGUAUUUAAAUGGCGCAUUAUCUACUGACCAUAAGAUUUCAAGGAAAGAAAAAACAAAACCAAAAAAACCCUAAACUAAAGGGGAGCACAAAAAAUCAUCAAAUUAAAAGUUGAAGAAUUUUUCAUCCUUAACUCACUUGUUCUUUAAUGCUUUUACUGCUGGAAAGGGG
rnacentral:lncRNA from 1 species